UACGUAGGGUGCAAGCGUUGUCCGGAAUUAUUGGGCGUAAAGAGCGUGUAGGCGGUCCGGUAAGUCCGCUGUGAAAGUCGGGGGCUCAACCCUCGAAUGCCGGUGGAUACUGUCGGGCUAGAGUGCGGAAGAGGCGAGUGGAAUUCCCGGUGUAGCGGUGAGAUGCGCAGAUAUCGGGAGGAACACCAAUGGCGAAGGCAGCUCGCUGGGACGGUACUGACGCUGAGGCGCGAAAGCGUGGGGAGCAAACAGG
rnacentral:rRNA from 1 species